UGGCGCGAGGCAAGAACAGAUGACUUUUGACAUAACCUCCAAAAAGUAUCUACGUCAUCACGAGUCCGAUCUGGCCCACCUUAUUACUUUGUUAUUUGUUUUUAUUCAUCUUGGGGCCAGAUCGAGCUGGUGAUGACGUAGUACUUUUUGGAGGUUAUGUCAAAAAUCAGCUGUUCGUGAUUCGCGCCA
rnacentral:pre_miRNA from 1 species